rnacentral:pre_miRNA from 1 species
UGGUGAGUCUAGCCUGGUGCAGGGCCUGGUCGAUGUGGUGCGGGUGCACCUGACGGUGGUGCUGCAUGUCGCAGUGGUUGCCGAGCACCACCACGGGCAGGUCAGCCGGCACUCGGCCCAGCUCCUUCACCACAUACUCAAAU